UUGCUCGCUUUGGCAGCACAUGUACUAAAAUUGGAACGAUACAGAGAAGAUUAGCAUGGCCCCUGUGCAAGGAUGACAUGCAAAUUCGUGAAGUGUUCCAUAUUUAA
rnacentral:snRNA from 1 species